CAGUAGCCGCGGGAAAACGUAGGGUGCAAGCGUUAAUCGGAAUUACUGGGCGUAAAGCGUGCGCAGGCGGUUUUGUAAGACAGAGGUGAAAUCCCCGGGCUCAACCUGGGAACUGCCUUUGUGACUGCAAGGCUGGAGUGCGGCAGAGGGGGAUGGAAUUCCGCGUGUAGCAGUGAAAUGCGUAGAUAUGCGGAGGAACACCGAUGGCGAAGGCAAUCCCCUGGGCCUGCACUGACGCUCAUGCACGAAAGCGUGGGGAGCAAACAGGAUUAGAGACCCGAGUAGUCCCUGUCUCUUAUAC
rnacentral:rRNA from 1 species